AUGCCUAAUACAUGCAAGUCGAGCGAACGGACGAGAAGCUUGCUUCUCUGAUGUUAGCGGCGGACGGGUGAGUAACACGUGGAUAACCUACCUAUAAGACUGGGAUAACUUCGGGAAACCGGAGCUAAUACCGGAUAAUAUUUUGAACCGCAUGGUUCAAAAGUGAAAGACGGUCUUGCUGUCACUUAUAGAUGGAUCCGCGCUGCAUUAGCUAGUUGGUUAGGUAACGGCUUACCAAGGCAACGAUGCAUAGCCGACCUGAGAGGGUGAUCGGCCACACUGGAACUGAGACACGGUCCAGACUCCUACGGGAGGCAGCAGUAGGGAAUCUUCCGCAAUGGGCGAAAGCCUGACGGAGCAACGCCGCGUGAGUGAUGAAGGUCUUCGGAUCGUAAAACUCUGUUAUUAGGGAAGAACAUAUGUGUAAGUAACUGUGCACAUCUUGACGGUACCUAUUCAGAAAGCCACGGCUAACUACGUGCCAGCAGCCGCGGUAAUACGUAGGUGGCAAGCGUUAUCCGGAAUUAUUGGGCGUAAAGCGCGCGUAGGCGGUUUUUUAAGUCUGAUGUGAAAGCCCACGGCUCAACCGUGGAGGGUCAUUGGAAACUGGAAAACUUGAGUGCAGAAGAGGAAGGUGGAAUUCCAUGUGUAGCGGUGAAAUGCGCAGAGAUAUGGAGGAACACCAGUGGCGAAGGCGACUUUCUGGUCUGUA
rnacentral:rRNA from 1 species